CUCCGAACCCGCCGGCGGAGCCUGGGGCGCGCGCCCGCGGGGCCGCGCCGGGGGUUGGGCUCGAGAGAGGCUGGGAGAGGCCCCUGGGGCUGCACCGCCCCGUCGGCUGUCGCAGCCGAGAGCAGCAACUCCUCAUUCCCACGCGCGCUCACAGGCCCCGGAGCCGAGCGAGAGCUACCCAGGUCCCGUGCCUCCCCUUUCUCCCCUUCCCAGCCCCACCCCAAGGAGUGCAGACCCCGCUGGAGGGUGCAGCCCAGGGCCGCUGAGCGCCAGCACCCUGCGCCACGUCGAGCAAGUCACGUCGCCUCCCAGAACCUCGGUGCCCUCUUCUGCCAAGUGGCGGUGAUGAGAGGGAGCUUGCGGGGUCGUGAAAGGUAUUCAAGGAGACGAGGCCACAGGAAGACCUUGGACAGCAGUGAACAGAGGUGUAAUGUGACCUUGGAGGGAGUUUCAAAGCAAUCUGCGAUGGAAUAUGCUCUUCCCUGUCCUUUGUCCCUCAGAGUCAUCCUCCACCAAAGCCUGAAGCCUCCACAUCUCACCCCCCUGCCCAUCCGGCCCCUGAGUCCAAGAGGACUCGACUCCCUUGAGUAGACCCCUCCCCCAGGCACGUGCCUGGCCCCUGCCAUCUCCAAGCCAUGCCCCCCACUCCUUCUCGCCAGCACUGCAGAGUCAUCCUCUCCGGGUGUUGCUAUUGCUUCCGGGCCUUCCUGGUUCCCAGUGGCUCCCUGCUGCCACCUCAUCAGGCCCAGACAGCUCUGCUGGCCUUCCCACCCCUCAUGCCCGGGCCCCACCCAGCUGACCUCAGGGCCCACUGUCUCACCACUCUCUGAGUUCAAGUUCAUUCCUUCCCAGGGGCAGCAUCACAUGGCACACCAUCCCCAACCUUUGCCCUGAGCCUCAGGUCCUACCAGUGCACUUUCUGGGCUGCCUCCUCCAGGAAGUCCUCUGGACUAUCAGGCCCUCGCUCCCCAAACCCACAUGCUCUUAACCCAACAAUCCAGGCUUCAUAAUCUGCUACUCUGUGCUGUUGAUUGACUACUCCACAUGUGUCCUCUUCUUCUCCACACUAUUCUAGUGGGAAGGACACAGAUAGUACAGUCAGACAGCACUGGAUGGGAAUUCUGGCUUCUGCUACUACGAAUGACCUUGGACAAGUUACAGAACCUUCUGAAUCUCUUUCCUCACCUGUGAAAUGGGAUAAUGAUACCUAUUUCCUAGAGUUGUGAGAAUUAAAUGAGAUGAUGCAAUUAAAGUGCCUCCUAGAGACUAAUAUACAACAGGUCGAAACCUAUGGUAGUCUGUUCUUUUCCUUCGAGCUCCUAGUGUACUGCUGAACAUGCAGUAGGUCCUCAAUAAACACUCGGUGAUGAACUAAAUGAAUUGCUGAGUUAGUUUUUUUAUUAUUAUUAUGCAGAUCACAUCUCAGAGAGUAAAAAACAUAGCCUCUAGGUUUCCGGGACCUUGGAGAUUUACAAAACAUAAAAUCAGAAAGGCAUAAUCUCAGAGCUAUGUUUUGAGUCAAUAGGCUGAUGCCAAGAGGGAAAAUGUAUUCAGUUCUAUAAGCAACACAAACUAAAGCUCUUUGGUGUCUGGAAUCCUGAUCCCUUUAUCUUCUCACCCACUCUGUCCCUUAGAGAAACAGAGAGAUAGAUCUAAGCAGGUCCAGCGGCAGGUGGGCAGGCAGGUGGCCCCAGAGCUCAGUGCAACCUGCACACGCUGAGAUAUUGCCCAUAGGACAGUUAGUCCAGCUGCAAGGCUCAGCUUGAGCGUGUUAGAAGCCAGGGAAACCAGUGAACUCAGUCUCUGGUUGGCCUGACAAUAGCCUCAGCCAUAUUGGCACUUUUCAGAGGUCUCCACGUGAUGGAUUAGUUAAUCCUCAAAAUGGCCCUGAGAAGGGGAUCGAUCCACGCUGAGGCUGUGGGUAGGAGAGAGGGUCCUGGCCUGAGCCGAGCCAGCUGCUGACUCAGCAGCAGCUCUGGAAGCCCUGGAGCGGGGGAAAUGAGGCACCACCCAGGCCCAUCCUUAGGCGGUGACUGGGAGGUUGAGCAGGCGGCUUUGUCAGCCAGGCAAGGAAGACGUGAUCUUUUGAACGUACAGUCAGCCUGUCUGUGCGGUAAGUAGAGAGGACACAGAAUUUCCAUGGUGCUGCAUCUUUUGAAAUGGCUUUUGCUAAUAACAAUAGCCUUAGCUUUCUACCUGGAAGUGACAUAUCACUUAUGCCUCCAGCAACCCUUUCCAGAAGGUACUUUUAUGGUUCCAGAUGAGAAAAAUGUAAAAUUUGCUCAGCUCAUUGCUAGAAAGAAGGACACCUGGGAUUCAAUUUCAUGUUGGAGCCCACACGAUGCCUUCGCCCCUACAGGAAAUUACGCCCAAGGUGCAAAAAAGAAAAGCCCUGCGCGGGAUCCCACAACUUGGAGCCAGCCUGCCCCUCCACGUCAGACCCUCCAGCUGUCCGAGGCCCUGGGAGGCAUUCCUCAUCCAGGCUGGGGUUCCUCACCGGCUUGUUCAUUCCCAAGUCCAGAGUAGAAACAGAUGAAAUGAAGGCUCGUGCAGGAAGGCUCUUUGCCAGAAGGCCGAGUCCCUCUCUGGUGGGCAGGUUAUUACUAUUAACACAGCAUGUGCUGCUCGGCCAGUGUUUGUGGAACCCAAGCUGGAGGCCGGAUUCGGCGAACUUCUGGGCCAGUGAACAUAUCCACUUGCUGAGAGAGUGGUGCACCCCAACUGCACAGGGACAGAAGGCAGCUCCUGUACUCGGGACCUUUCCAGAUCUUGCUCUAGGUCCGAGCCCUGGUCCAGGAAGAUCCCACAUGCCGCGGAACAACUAAGCCCGUGAGCCACAACUACCGAAGCCCACUAAGCCUACAGCCCGUGCUCUGCAACAAGAGAAGCCACCAUGAUGAGAAGCCGUACCACAACGAAAAGUAGCCCCCGCUCGCCGCAACUAGAGAAAGCCUGCACGCAGCAACGACGACCCAAUGCAGCCAAAAGUAAAAUUAAAAA